rnacentral:lncRNA from 13 species
UAUAAUUUUACAUUUUUAUAAUAUUUAAUAUAAUAAUAAUAAUCUUUUUAUUUAUAUAUAAUACAUCAGGCCUCGAUGUUUUCACUAAUGAUAAUCGCGACUCGUAGCAAUUUGUUUCGCGAAUUUAAGUACGCGUGCUUUUUUACAUGAUCAUCUUAUAACAUAAGUAAACUUUUUUUUAUAACGAUGACUUUGCGGAAUUAUCAUCUAAGUAUGCCUCUUUUCGAUUUUCUUAAUUUCAAACAGAUUCUCCAAAUGAAAAAAAAAGAAAAAAAAAUAUUUUUAACGUUGAGCGUGAGAGCCUUGGUGAUGAAAGAUCGAUCUUCGUACGCGUACGAUAAUUAAAUUAAUUGAAUCUAUACAGCGGAAAGUUUAUAUUUUCCACGACGCGUACUUAUGACAGCGUCGUGGAAAAUAUAAACUCUUCGCUGUAUAAAUACUCGACGAGCAGGUUAACUUUAGUAAUAACGAGUACAAAUUGUACAAUCCUAUGUUAGAUCACGAUGUUGUAAAUGGCUUUAAAUGUUCAAAUGCGUACUAGUUAACCUUCUCCUAGCAUGAUACUAUCUAGAUGGCAGCGAGUAAGUAAUUAAAUAAUUGCAGAACAAUCAUUUCCAUCUCUGUCUCGAAUUUCCCGUCUUUUACUCUUUUAUUAACCCUUACUCUACAAACGUGGGUAUUUUGUGUCCGAUCAAUUUCACUCUAAGGAAGUUUCUUGAAAUUUCGAAGGCAAUUAAAUUACAUUUCUUUUUAAAUAUCACAUUAAACUACAUUUUUUUUUUUUAAUACAGACAUUUAUUUUGGAAACUUAAAAGUAUGUUUAUGAAUUAAAAAAAAAAUUUUUUUAACCUUUAAUUUUAGACGAAAAAAAGCAGUCAGACUCGAUAUUCAAGUUUACGUGGACAAGAUGUCUCUUUUUUACAUUUUAUUGUAAGGAUUAAGAGACGUACAGAUUUAGGAUCUGAUUUUGAAAUUUUACGAAACCGGCUGGUGCACAAAACGCCCUUAAUUGUCGGUUGUUGCGCAUAGUUUCCGGUUACAUAGUUGUCAAUUAUGAAUAUUUAACUAUGUCACGUCGAGUUAUGCGGACAAUAGGGACGGCCGGUCAAUCGGGCGCUCACGUUGCUCCAAAUAUUCAGCACGUUUAUAAUUAAUUAAGCUGGAUUUAUGCGUGGAAUUUAUUAGGCGAUAACCGUCGCAUCUUGCGUUAUCUAUGACGAGGCAAUCAAACAGACGAGGGGGGGAAGGAUUUACGUUAUGAUUAUUCAUGUUUCGUAUCGUGUUUGCAUGCUCCGCUUGUCGGUUACCACUUAAUUAUGCCGUGCCGAAAAGCUGAUACUGUGGAGAUCCGACGAUGAGAGAGUGAAAGAGAGAGAGAGAGAGAAAGAGAGAGAGAGAGAGAGAGAGAGAAAGCCUAAAGUGACACACUCGGUCGUUUGUUGCGAUAAUACACACGGUAUUUCGGAAUAAAAGCACACUAAGUAUACAGACCGUAUAAAUUACCGCGCGGGAUUCCGUCGCAAAGCAAACGGAGCACGAAACGGAUGUCAACAAUAGGGACGUAAAUGGCCGGGAACCAGUUGCGGCGAGAACUCGAUACCCCGCGGACGGGACGGAGAGAACGCGAUUUCAGCGGACGGCGGAGUGAAAGAGGUCGAUGACGCGUUAUUUGGGGUAAACGUGGAAAUCUCGCGUGACCACCGCUGCCGGCGCGGCGGACAAGAAGCUGCCUGAAAUAUGGUCCGGCGACGUGACCGGAGCCGGAAAAAGAGACAUCGAAACGUCCACUCGAGGGAAAACGAUGGCAGGAGGGAUGAAAGCACGCGAGGGAACAAGUUGAAGAACAAAGAAGAACGGCUUUAGCGAACAAGACAGUUGGCUUGUAAUUUAGGAAAAACAUACAUACAUUUAUAUGCAGUAAACAUUUUAUUGUAACUAUUCAAAUAUUUAUGAAAAUUUAGUAAGUUUUUUCUUUCCACUGUAAGAGUUUCAGUAAUAGAUCGAUUAGACGAUUCUGAAAACCCACAAAUUAUUACACAAAAUUACAAGAACUAAUACAAGCUAUCUAUAUUCUCUAAAUCGGGGAACCAGUAAACUCUUACUAUAUUUGUAACUAUAUCAAUCAGUGACAUAUGGAAUAUUUUCUUUCAAUUAUAAUUUACUGCCGUAUAUUUCAAGACAAGAUUACGUCUAUACGGAUUUUUUACGUAAACAAUACGUGAUGUUUACACGAAUUUUUUUCAUGUAGACAAUGCAAACAUAUGAAAUAUGUAAACUAUUGUCAAUUAGAUAACACUAAGCACAAUACAAAAAAAGUAAUUAAGUUUUAAAAUUGUUAAUAUAUCUGAUUUUAAUAUAUUGAUAAUAAAAAUAUUAUAUAAAUAUACAAUAAAUUUAUUUAAGAAUUAAAAAGUUAAUGGCAAUGAUUUAUCAAGUUUUCAUUAUAUUACAUAUCAAUUUCAACUUCUGUACACAAGUUAUAGUUUACAUAGAUGAUACUUUAUACAUAAUUUGCGUAGUCUGUAUAGUUCACGCGUAAUGUAGAUUAUUUAUAUUUUAUGUAUGAACGGAUAACCUUGAUGAAUAAUCACUGAUAAUCAGUUUAACAGCACUGCAAAUCAGUGAAUAAUACACUGAUUUCAAUGUAGAGAGUGUAAAUCUCUUUUUUUAUUACACAAUUAAACUUUUUUUUUUUAAAAUAGAUAAAUUUGUAUAUUUUCUUUUAGUUCUCAAGUAAUCAAGGGAUGACUUUUUACAUUGAAGAGAGUUAUAAAAAAAUAAAUACGUAUCAACUUAUAAGCUGAAGUUGUAAUGAAGUCGAAGGGUUAAUCCGUGCUACGUACUUUACCAAAGAUUAAUUGCAUUUCCACCCCUGCGUGACGGAUUCUGCGCGCGACAUUCGACAUUUGAUGGGGUGGCUUUGUCACAAAGUGCGAGGUAGCCGUCGUACCGCAACCGAGAAUUGUGUACUGUAAAACCAGGCUAUCGCAUUACCGGAUAGUGACCAGAAGUUACUGUUGACUUGUUGGACCGAUUACGAAAUCUUGAACGAGCGUGUGGCGUGAAAUCUCAAGGGAUCCGGUCGGUGAAAAUCAAUGUAGACUAAAAUUAAAUUCGACGUUAAUACGUAACGCGAUAACGUAUCGAAAAUCCAUUUCGGAUCGAUAGAGUGUUUACGUGUCGAGACAAAUUACUCGUGUUUUUACAUUAAUUAUAUGCGUUGAAAAGAUCAGCGCAUUUUAAAUAAAGUCGUACCUUUCAAUUCCGAGAGAUACGCUUUCUUGCAAUAUUUUUAAUAUCAAAGUGAUGUUGCAAAUAUUUCGCAUCUUAUUUGUCGCUUCUCUUGCCUUUUGAUUUCUAUGAGCACAAUUGUCACAAAAAUUUCGCCAAGAACAAUAUAAGAUUCGAAAAAUUCAAGUUAAUUAAAUUUGCAUAAAUACGUUUAUUAAUGAAACAAAUAUUUUUUACUAUUAUAAUAAAAGAUCUCACGAGAAAUCAAGGUAUAAAGAAUCGAUAUAAAACACGAAUUUAAACGCGGUAAAUCUUUUUUAUCUUCGAGCUAUUUGUCUUUUUAAGUUUAUUUUCUCACUGCUGAAGUUUCUAUGUUCUCUUUUACUAUGUGUCUCCAACCUUAAGUAUAAGAAUCCGAUUAACUGGAUGUCUCUCCGAGUUGACGGUAAGUGCCAGACAAAAGUACAGGCACAGGUACUGUUAGCGACGAAUGUAAUGCACUUCUCUUGCUUCGAACUAAAUUGAUGAAACUUUAUGUCUCGUUGGAUUCGACGAAACACUUUGUCUCCCUCGAGUAACUUUACCAAAAUGGAAUUCUAUAGCGAUCUUUAGCUACGUACAAUUUAUGAGCUGCAAUUUAUUGUUGUUCUCUUUACAAUUUUUCUCGAAACGCUUUGAAUGAAAAUGCAAAAGAGCAGCGCGGCAGUUUGUGAUUAAAAUUGAGAAAUAUUGAUGUUUAAUUUUGAAUCCAUACACGUUACGUGUUCGCAUCUCCCGGGCAUACGGGGGUAAUAAAAUGACAGAUUAAGUUCUGAUAUUAUUGAAGAAAAUUGCAAAAUUAGUUCAUGCAAUCAGUUAAAGUAGUCAAAUAAAUUUAGUUAAGGUGCAAUUGUCAUCAACGCGAGAACGUUAAGUGGGGAAUAGACUAAUCUUAGGUAGAUGAGAUUAGUAGCGCUACUAAUUAGAGAGCUUGUAGCUCCAGCUCGUUAAUCUCCAAGAUAGUGAUCUCAAUGACGCCUUCUCGUGUUUCAAUCACUUACCAGCUUCCGCUCUUCCGCGGAUCGAAUAUACGUUUUCCAACAAAUGGAAAUUAGAGAAUUUAUUGGAAUGCUUCUUGUAACUUGAAACUCUCUUUUGAAAAGUCGUAUUCAAAGCAAAGAAAAAGUAAUAACUGUUCUUUAUAUCCAUUGAAGGCAAAAUAGAUAUAUUUAUUAUUAGCUAAAUAACAAUUUUAUACAAACUAACGCAUUAUCUUUUGAAUCAUCUGUGUCAAACUAUUAUUCAAAUAUGCUUUCACUAGACAUCUAGUUUAUGAAUAAAUUGCCAAAAUAGAUAUAAUUACAUGGAUGAAAUUUGAAUAACUUUUAGCAAACUACAUUUAAAUCAAAUGCGAUCACGUUUGUCACUUUUCAACUUAAUAAUAUUUUUCCAAAAGAAAUGUACAGCCAUCUUUUCUAGUUGCACAAAUUUUCGUAAGAACGUUCUAAAUUUCGUUUUAGAUAAAAGAGAAAUUGCAGGAUUUGUGGAAUAAUUGGUUAUUAAUGGUGCAAUUAAAGAAUACCAAUUGAUGUAUAUAUAUAAACAUAAUUUAUUUUAAAUAAAUCGCUAACAUAAGACCAUCCCUUUAAAUGUAAUACUUCUGUGACACAAAAUCCAGAACAGUACUUGGAUGAAAAUACAAUAAUCUCAAUAUUGUAUUAUCAAUACAAUAUCGUCUGUUGUACUUUAAAAAUUUUGUGAUAAUCUUCGUCAUGUUAGAAUGAAUUUGUCGAUAUACAAUUAUAAUGUACAAGCGCUGUUCUCUAUGAUCAAACGAGAAUCCUAUCGUAGCGCACGCCAAGUAUACUGUCAGUUUGCAAGCUUAGCUGACGGUUUUUACACACGCGUAUGCUAUAACGGGAUCGGUUACGAGAGCAUCAGUUUUAUUAAUAAGUCCAAUUAAUCCUUUUUGUGUGUCAGUCUUUUAUUCAAAUCUACUGUAUAAAUGAUGAUCUCUACACUGUUCAGCCAUAAUUCUUGUGUACAUGUCGUGGUAUUAAAAAGAAAAAAAUUGCCAUAUAGGAGGUCAGAGCAAAACUACAAAUGUAUAUAUGAGAAUAUAUGAGAAUAAAUGUAUAUAUUA